AGUGAACGCUGGCGGUAGGCCUAACACAUGCAAGUCGAACGGCAGCACAGUAAGAGCUUGCUCUUACGGGUGGCGAGUGGCGGACGGGUGAGGAAUACAUCGGAAUCUACUUUUUCGUGGGGGAUAACGUAGGGAAACUUACACUACUACCGCAUACGACCUACGGGUGAAAGCAGGGGAUCUUCGGACCUUGCGCGAUUGAAUGAGACGAUGUCGGAUUAGCUAGUUGGCGGGGUAAAGGCCCACCAAGGCGACGAUCCGUAGCUGGUCUGAGUGGAUGAUCAGCCACACUGGAACUGAGACACGGUCCAGACUCCUACGGGAGGCAGCAGUGGGGAAUAUUGGACAAUGGGCGCAAGCCUGAUCCAGCCAUACCGCGUGGGUGAAGAAGGCCUUCGGGUUGUAAAGCCCUUUUGUUGGGAAAGAAAAGCAGCAGGUUAAUACCCCGCUGUUCUGACGGUACCCAAAGAAUAAGCACCGGCUAACUUCGUG
rnacentral:rRNA from 1 species